ACCUCACUGGCCCAGUCGGUUGAGUGUCUGACUUCGGCUCAGGUCACGGUCUCACGGUUUGUGGGUUCAAGCCCCGUGUGGGGCU
rnacentral:tRNA from 1 species